rnacentral:tRNA from 1 species
GAGGGUGUAGCUCAGUGGUAGAGCACAUGCUUAGCAUGCACGAGGUCCUGGAUUCAAUCACCAGUACCUCCA